UACAGAGGUCUCAAGCGUUGUUCGGAUUCAUUGGGCGUAAAGGGUGCGUAGGCGGCGAGGUAAGUCGGAUGUGAAAGCCCUCGGCUCAACCGGGGGAAGUGCACCCCGAAACUGCAAAGCUAGAGUCUCGGAGAGGAUCGUGGAAUUCUCGGUGUAGAGGUGAAAUUCGUAGAUAUCGAGAGGAACACCGGUGGCGAAGGCGGCGAUCUGGACGAUGACUGGACGCUGAGACGCGAAAGCGUGGGGAGCAAACAGG
rnacentral:rRNA from 1 species